rnacentral:rRNA from 1 species
UGGGUAGUCUUUACGAGCGCACCUUGCUGCCAGUUGCCACUUACCUUCGGGUAAGCACUCUGGCGGGACUGCCUGGGAAACCAGGAGGAAGGUGGGGAUGACGUCAAGUCAUCAUGGUCCUUAUGUCCAGGGCUACACACGUGUUACAAUGGCCGGUACAAAGGGUCGCGACUUCGCAAGAAGAAGCCAAUCCCAGAAAGCCGGUCUAAGUUCGGAUUGGGGUCUGCAACUUGACCCCAUGAAGUUGAAAUCGCUAGUAAUCGCGUAUCAGCAACGACGCGGUGAAUACGUUCUCGGACCUUGUACACACCGACCGUCACACCACGAAAGCUAUUUGUACCCGAAGUCACCUUAACCAACCCGUAAGGGGGGUGGGUGAUCAAGGUGUGGGUAGUGAUUGGGGUGAAGUCGUAACAAGGUAGCCGUAGGAGAACCUGCGGCUGGAUCACCUCCUUUC